CCUACGGGAGGCAGCAGUAGGGAAUUUUCGUCAAUGGGCGCAAGCCUGAACGAGCAAUGCCGCGUGAACGAGGAAGGUCUUCGGAUCGUAAAGUUCUGUUGAAGGGGAAAAAGAUCGGAGAGAGGAAAUGGUCUCCGAUUGAUAUUACCCUUCGAGGAAGUCACGGCUAACUACGUGCGAGCAACCGCGGUAAUACGUAGGUGGCGAGAGUUAGCCGGAUUGAUGGGGCGUAAGGGGUGCGUAGGCGGCCUGCUAAGUCUGGGGUGAAAGGUACCGGCUUAACCGGUACCGGCUCUGGAAACUGGCGGGCUAGAGAGCAGGAGAGGGCGGUGGAACUCCAUGUGUAGCGGGAAAAUGCGUAGAUAUAUGGAAGAACACCAGUGGCGAAGGCGGCCGCCUGGCCUGUUACUGACGCUGAGGCACGAAAGCGUGGGGAGCAAAUAGGAUUAGAUACCCCGGUAGUC
rnacentral:rRNA from 1 species